rnacentral:rRNA from 1 species
UCGAUGUCUAGCAUGCGAGUCAUUGUAGCAUACAAGGCAUACGGCUCAGUAACGCGUAGUCAACCUAACCUAUGGACGGGAAUAACCUCGGGAAACUGAGAAUAAUGCCCGAUAGAACACUAUACCUGGAAUGGUUUGUGUUCCAAAUGAUUUAUCGCCAUAGGAUGGGACUGCGGCCUAUCAGUUUGUUGGUGAGGUAAUGGCCCACCAAGACUAUUACAGGUACGGGCUCUGAGAGGAGUAGCCCGGAGAUGGGUACUGAGACACGGACCCAGGCCCUAUGGGGCGCAGCAGGCGAGAAAACUUUGCAAUGUGCGAAAGCACGACAAGGUUAAUCCGAGUGAUUUGUGCUAAACGAAUCUUUUGUUAGUCCUAGAAACACUAACGAAUAAGGGGUGGGCAAGUUCUGGUGUCAGCCGCCGCGGUAAAACCAGCACCUCAAGUGGUCAGGAUGAUUAUUGGGCCUAAAGCAUCCGUAGCCGGCUCUGUAAGUUUUCGGUUAAAUCUGUACGCUUAACGUACAGGCUGCCGGGAAUACUGCAGAGCUAGGGAGUGGGAGAGGUAGACGGUACUCGGUAGGAAGUGGUAAAAUGCUUUGAUCUAUCGAUGACCACCUGUGGCGAAGCGGUCUACCAGAACACGUCCGACGGUGAGGGAUGAAAGCUGGGGGGGAGCAACCCGGAUUAGAUACCAGGUAGUUCCAAGCCUGUAACUAUGCAAACUCAGUGAUGCCAUUGGCUUGGGUGGACCCAAUUGCCAGUG